rnacentral:lncRNA from 1 species
CCUUGCUUAAUGCCCUUUCCAGACCUUUUCUUAUAUUUCUUUCCAGCUCCUUGACGACUUACAAGAUGAAUAGAAUGAGUUCCUUGAUUCUUAAGCAUUGUCUCCUCUUGCACGAGCAUACUGUGCAAUUCAUUCACAUUUCAUUUGUCCUUUAAGGUAUUAUAAUUUAUAUGGAAUGGACCAUACUCAGGAGGCAAAGAGUUAAUGAUAAACUGUGCUAGGAAGUUCUCAUCCACAGUCAUCCCAAGAGUCUUAAGUCUUGCUGAAAUGUUACUCAUUUCAGUAACGUGCUCAUGCAUGGUACGAGAACCAUCAAAUUUCAUGGUGGUUAAUGUACCCAUCAGUGUGCCAGCAAGCGAUUUGUCAGCUGUUUGGGAACGUUCUUCCACAAACUUCAUAUAUUCCUUGGCGCUCUCAGUUUUAGGGAUAGUAGACUUGAUAUUCUUUGCCAAGGUCAUUCGCAUAAACAUUAGGCUUAAUCUGUUAGACCUUUCCCAAGCCUUAUGGAAAGAUUUUUCAUCAGCACUGCUCUCAUCAGUGAGAUCAGCAGGUUUCUCAACUUGAAGUGCCAAGUCCAAAUCCAAAACACCUAAGUUGAACUGGACUUGUUCACACCAGUAAGAGAAAUUGAGCCCAUUGAACAGUGGUACAGAUGAAGCAUGCGAAUGCAGAGAAACGGGAACAGAUACUGCAAAAUAUAAAAUGCUCUAACAUUAAUGCUUUGAGCUUUGACUUAAACACUUAGUUCAGAUUCGGACAACAACAAAUGUAUACCGUAGUUCUCCUUUGGGUGAUACUACGUUAUACCAUCAUAAUAAACAUAGUGAUGCUAAUUAAAUUUCACUUAAUUGGUAAUUAAUCAUACUCCAAUCAAACAUGUCUGUCAUCUUUGGAUAUACAAAACACAUCCAAUUAAGUAUAUCAAUUAACCACGAUCAUGUUCAAGAUUAAUAAAAUUGACCGAUCAACCUUUGGGCGAUUCAUAAUAAUUUUAUAAUCUAUGAACGUCAAUACACUCUUGACAUCAAUAAUUUUAAUAUCAUUUCCUGUUAUAAGCAUCACAUUAUCAAGAGUGUUUGACAAAUAAAUUAUGUAAUUUAAUGUUUACAUCCCAUAAUGUUUGGCCACUUUGGUGACUAACAAACAACAUUAAUUGAACAUAAAUUACAUAAACAAAAUAUUUAUCACAUAACAUUAAUUUCAGAUUUACGUACAUUUGACCAACCACAAAACACAUGAUAAAUUAAUUGAAGCAAUCAUCUAAUCACAUAGUACAAUUAAUCGUUCAUGUGAGGCAGUCAGUAAUUAAUAUAUAUAUGGCCCAGAUACUUUAAAAAUUCG